ensembl:lncRNA
UUUUCCAAGUCUGCGCGGUGUCCUGGGCAAUACAGCUGAAGGGCGGAAUCUGUCUUGUUCUCUCUGUUGUGGAAAGGAGGUGAAAAGAUGUCUCAGACACACCGAGAUUCUGGCAGAACCUUUCAGGGAAUCCCACAGGCCAUGGCCAAUGGAAGAGGUUCCCAAGGACUGCACUUCUCCCGGGGAAACAAGCUGGGGUAUAUGGAGGUGGAAAUCCUGGACUCUCAAAUGGGAAGGUCCCCAUAUGUUAUUGAUAAGGUGCAUCCUUCCGCAACUGUUCUUGACCUGAAAAUUCGAUUUCAUAAAACAUGCCCUGCCAGACACCCAUCAAGAACCGGACUUCGACUUACUCCCAGUAAGUACUCCUGGAAUACCGGUUGAAAGGAUUUGUUUUUAAGAGGUUUGUUUUCCCCUGGAAAAAGACCCAUUAACAGACGUUUUCCUAUUGAGUGCCAAGUAAACGCUAGGUGAAACCCUUUGUGUGCUUCUUUCAUUCUCCCUACGCUGUGAACUAAGUUGGCUUCGCACAAACGAAACAGCUAAUUACUGCCAUCCAGGGACAUGUCUUGGGGCAUCUCACUGUAGUGAUGCAGGAUACAUAAGCAACGUUAUUAAAAGGGUCCAUCAUGCUCAUUAGCAAGGUGGGCCCAUGUGGUGCCCCAACAGAUGCCUGAAUUGCUGACAUGUUUCUGAACUCUAAACUCAAAUCCCCAUUCAUCUUGAAGAUGUAUGUACGUUUCAGCCAAGCUGUGGAUUACUGCGCUGCUUCUCAAGCUGUUUUUCUUUCCGUUCUUGGAAGAGAUCGAGAGGAAAAUUAAAACAAUUGCACACACGUGCAGGAAUGCACACAUUCGCACGCACGCCCGCGCGCACACACACACACACACUAACACACACAUAAACAUACUGCUUAAUAAAUGUAAUAAAAUAAGCACUGAGGGAAACAAUAGAAGACCUACUCCUGGACCAUGUAUGCACCCACCUAUUGGAAUGAGAAAAUUGCUGGAAGAAUCCUAAAUAUCAUAUCAUUAGCACCCUCAUGGUUUGUCAUAGAACAGUAAUGAAAGGAAAACCCAGCUGUGGAAAAAGAACGCACAACAUAGUAAUUAUGAACCACAAAGAGACUAGGGCAAUAUGCCAUAGUUUUACUACUGUCCAAUAUUACAGUGGCAGACAAUGUAGGAGUACAUAUGCAAACAAAGAAUAUAUCGCCCCACUAUAAAGUAUAACUUUUAAGGCUCCAUAUAGCCUUAAUAAUAAACUUCAUAUUUAUUUUAUCUCAACCUUUAUGAUUGACGUCACAAUGCAAACCUCUCACCAUACCCCACCAACAAAAACCAUCACCGUCGUCUUUCUUCAAAUAACACGAAUUUUGCCUAUGACUCUAAUCAUCUCUCUUUGACACUUUACAGAGUAAGAUGAAUGCACUGCAAGUGUCCAAGCAUAAGUGUACACAUAACUUAGUUUUUGUUGGCCUUAUUGGGAGGUUAUUCCAAAGCCUUUAUGAGCUGUUCAUUGUAAAAAAAAAAAAAAAACAGAAGAGAUUUAGUCUUCUCAAAUGCACUGAUAGGCACAAAGCCACAAGUUAGAUUAGUCCCAAACCUUUUCACACAGGGCCCUUUAUUGCUUUCCACAACUUUGGCCUUCAAAUGUGUUUACUGAAACAUGAAGAAGUUGCUGCUACGACAGCCUACUGCCUGAGAUUCACAGAAAAAUAAAACAUUUACAAUUCCAUGUCCAAUUCUAUAGCCUAUUAAAACUACAGUACAUAUUUUAAAGUACUAUUGGCAAGGUUGUCUUUCAACUGUAAAAUUGAAAGACGCAUUCAAUUGACUAUUUUAGGGUUUUGUUCAGCAGAGGGGGAACGGCCUGCAUUGAUGGAGCCUGCUGCGGGUGAGGCCCUUUCAGUCAAAAGUCCAGUCAUAGUCUUAAUGCAACACUAAAAUUCAACCCCCCCCCCAUAUAUCACUGUAAGCAUAACUGUGUAAUUUCAGUAAUAUUAAUAUGACGCAAUGAAAACACCUAUGCUGAUUAUCGAGGCUUAAUAGCGCGUUUUGAAGUUUCAAAGGAUUGUGACGCCCGCCAUUCGCCUCACAGUGGUUUGAUCCACUGCCCCCCCCCCCCCCCCCCCAGCCCUGAGCAGCGGCACCCCGGGCAGGUAAAGUGCUUGCGUGGUUGUUGGUGGCUGACUUUCGGUAAGUAGGUCAAACAGAGGAUAUGUUAUACAUUUCUUUACUUCUAACACUCAGUACAAUAAAACACAUAACCGUCACCAGCCUUCAUUUUCACUACAUUGAAUCAAUCAAUCAAUCAAUCAAAUGUAUUUAUAAAGCCCUUUUUACAUCAGCCGAUGUCACAGAGUGCUUUUACAAAACACCUAGCCUUACAAGUCACACUUUGUUAGCUAACGGUUAGUUAAGUUUGCUAGCUAGCUACAGUAAAAUCAACCAGUGUUUGCAGUUAAUGAGAGAAGCUUACAGUGCAAUGUAGUGUUCCUUAGCUGGCAAGGGGAUCGCGUUUGUGCCUACCUUUGGAAAGGGCACUCAAUGCACGUAGCUAUUGUGAGGUUAAUCUAGUAAAUGUGUUUUAUAUGCUGGUAGGGUUCACACACAAUAGCUGAAUUUGCGGAGAUGUAGUAGUGAGACAACCGAUGAGGCAAACUAAAACAGUAUUACAGCACAACUUUUGGUGUCCCCCUCGAUAAUUGCUACUGGAAGCUGUUACAGAGAAGUUAGCUUUUAAUACGUAAAAAAAAUUUUUUACCCCAUUUUUCUUUUCAAUUCCAUGGUAUCCAAUUUGUGAUAUCGCAGCAACUCCCUGCCUCUUCCGAGGAUCAUCCAUUGCUGUUCUGGUUCCUAUCAUGCCGCUAAGUUUAGGCUAGAAUUUUUACACACCAGAGGUAAUACUCAAUCUGGCCCUCUACUUUGAGCUCACUGGUGCCCUGGGAAAAUCUGCAAACAGGAUUUGAAUCUUGUGACGCAGCUAACUGCAAGGCAGUGACUUUACUGCUCUGCCAUUCAGGGCCCCCCUGAAAGUUCAGAUUUUCUUGAAUUCGGUCCCGUCCUGUUCAGGCUUACACGCCCCAUUCCCCCAGGCCGCCUCUUUUCCCUACAUUAAAAUAAGUUUGGCUUCGUUGAUUCAUCUCCAAUGAAGCUGUUAAAAAAGUCCCGCUAGAAUCUACAGGUUCAUGGAGGCUACCUGAUUUUUAAUCAACUGUGUUCUGCAUCAUCUAAUAAUUGGGCUGCCAUCGUUCAUCUCCCCCCAGAAAGUUUUCUGUGGAACCCAAGAGAGGGGAACAGCUGCUUUGGCGGGAGUCAUCUGUGAUCCACAUAACCAAUAAAUAAACUCUUAGGGAGUGAGACAGAGGGAUAUAACUCGAUAUCUUUAUAUGGUUUCAGACCAUAAGAUCCAUUAAGGCAUCCAGACAGGAAGGUCACACAGCACAAUCACAUUGAGUUUUCAUGACAAGGGCUUUCAAACUAGAUCAGUUAAGACAAGACCUCAGUGGCGGUAAUCUGACAGAAUCUACAGAACUCCAAUCUUCCGAGGCAAACUUUCCGCAUCGACCUCAAAUGCUCUCCACGAUCAUAGUAAUUUUGGCAGGACACUCCGGUACUCCGGGGGGGGGGGGUGACGGAGGGUCAAGCGUUGUGACGCCCUCCACCGCACGCCAGAAAAAAACCUCCUGGGUCUCGGGCGGCUCCGGCGACUCUCCGUCGUCUCCGUACCGCUGUACGAUUGACGACCCGCCACUCAAUGCACCUGUCCUCUGUCAAUCAUUCACCGGCCUGGCACCGGAGUGACCCUCAUUAAGCAGCGUGUGCCCAUAUGGCGUGGCGGACGGUGCGUGCGCGGGAGUGCGUUGGCUCCGAAACAGAUUGGUUUGGAGGACGAGGCCAGCCCUGGGGUCGGAUCUCUCCCUAAAAACCUCAAUGCCGCGGUUAUUCUGAUGGAGGAAAUAUGGCAGGGGAGGAUGAGGGCAAGCAUAACAUUGCCCUUGCAGCUGCUCACAAAUGUCAUCCCAGAUGUCCCCUAUAUCCAACAAUAGCUGAGGGAAGAUGAUCUCAAGCCACACAAAAUAAUCUCUCUCAAGGAGACCAACGAUGGAUAGACAAUUGAUGCAUUCUGGGUGGCAUGAGUGGGAGGCUAUUAAGCAUGCCCUCCAGAUAAUAUUGGGAUUACAGCUCCGGGGUCAUCCGCAGUUAUCGUACAGGAAACGAGUCAUCACCCCUUGCCCCUUUUUAUUUUUCUUAUUUUCUUCUUCAACAGGAAAAGCCUGUCAUUUGGUCAGGAUAUUGGAGUAGCAGGAAAGGUUGAUUAAAUUCUGAGACAAAAUGUUUGUGUCCCUGACAAUCAUAUUAGGUUUUGAAAGACAUCUUUCUGUCGGGUGGGCUAUUUCAAUUAGUUUUUGAAAAGCAGAGAUGGGUGUCAGGAACCUCUCUAAAUGCACUGAAAUUAAGUGCCCUUUCAGUUUAAGUGUCGGCCCUCAGAAUUGAAAGUUGGGACCUGGUGCAUCUCUGCUUGGCCCUCAGCAUUAAAGAAGAACUGUGGAUAAGGACACACCAUAGAUGAAUGUCCUCCAUUACUCCAUCAAGCUCAGUAAUACAGUAAGAGAAAAUAAGCUUCUGCUCUUCCGAAGGAUGCAUUAGUUCCAUUUAAAGAACAGCUAAGACAAAGUAAUUUUAUAGUUACCACAGGGGAUCUGAAAUGAAGUUGCAUAUUUCCAACAUUUGCCAGACACUCCUGCUGUGACUAUGGGUUGAAAACAUCCUUCUGAUUUGGGACAUUAAUACUGCGUCUCCUGUCAUUUGACAGCACGCAGGUUCACCCAUUUAAACACACUAUAAAUACAUUGAACAUCGACUGCAAGGAGUUUUUAAGUAGGAUACACUAUCAUAAACGCAGACGUGUACACUUCUGUAAAAUCAUUAGCACAUGAUUAAAUAUCUCUAGGAUCCUUUCCUUUAAAAGAUGGCUAAUUCUAGCCUUUACAACAGCUAAACACUCUCUCCUUAGAUAUAAAACUCUCCGCCUCCUGACGAUUGGGCCAAUGGCUAUGGAGCAGCUGGCUAAUUGAAAGUAUCUAACUUACUUCCUGGGAAAUUAGACUAUACUGAAUAUAAUAUAGACCCCUUUAUGGCUUGGUGAAUUCAACCUUCGAGCGGGUCAGUUUCUAAUGCGG